AGGACGAACGCUGGCGGCGUGCUUAACACAUGCAAGUCGAACGAGAUCGAUCUAGGUCGCAAGACCUGGUGAAAAUCUAGUGGCGAACGGGUGAGUAACACGUGAGCAACCUGCCCCGAAGACCGGGAUAACAGCGGGAAACCGCUGCUAAUACCGGAUGUCCCCAUCGGACCACAUGGCCUGAUGAGGAAAUGGAUUCCGCUUCGGGAGGGACUCGCGGCCUAUCAGCUUGUUGGUGAGGUAACGGCCCACCAAGGCGACGACGGGUAGCUGGUCUGAGAGGACGAUCAGCCACACUGGGACUGAGACACGGCCCAGACUCCUACGGGAGGCAGCAGUGGGGAAUCUUGCGCAAUGGGCGAAAGCCUGACGCAGCAACGCCGCGUGAGGGAUGAAGGCCUUCGGGUUGUAAACCUCUUUCAAGCAGGGACGAUAAUGACGGUACCUGCAGAAGAAGCUCCGGCCAACUACGUGCCAGCAGGCCGCGGUAA
rnacentral:rRNA from 1 species